AGGAACAGCAGCUGCUCAGCCCACCUUGACCUUGGGCUGAACAUCUUCUCUUGUCCUUGGCAGGGCCGCCCUCCUGGCAACCUGAGGGAAAAAAAGAAGAUGCAGAACCCACAGGAACUCUUGUAAAAGGGAGGAGCAGGAGCUCAAGUUCAGUUGAUCGUCCUUUCUUGCUGGCUUGCUAAUGUCAGGCUCCAGAAACGUACUGGUAGAGGCAAAUGUCAGAGCCUGGGCCACCCCAGGCUUGCGGUGCUCUUCUGCAUGUGCCUUACCAAGUAAACAGUUUUUUU